CACAGGUGUGCCACCCAUCCUUAGAGAUAGGAGCUAACUGUUUACAAUGUGAUUUUUCUGAUCAGACCUACAGAUGGUCAACCAGAGUCCCUUUCAUGAUCUGGGAAGAUGCCCUCCUAAGAAGGAGAGAAAAGCAUGAUAACAGAGAAAACACUUGGCCCCCAGAGUCCUUGAACAUCCUUAGGUUCACACUGGUGGGCCAAAUGUAUUUCCCCAGUGUUGGGGUUGAGGCAUCGGCUGAGGGGAAGAAAAUUAUCCAGGCUUGGGCAGCACACCAGAAUCCUGUCCAAAUACUGGAUAUUAACAAGAAAGUUUUUUGUUUUGUUUUGUUUUGUUUUGUUUUGUUUUGUUUUAGUAACACCAGGUUUUACCUCCUUGGGAACAGCCCACCUCUGACCUGAGAAGAAGAGAUCUGAGAAUAUUUUAAGGGCAUUCUCUGGAACAUACUUCGGACACACAUGAGGCAUUGAAGUGAAAGCUAGAGAUGUGGCUACAUCCUACCAGGGGACCAGGAACAACUUAAACCAGUGAGAGUCUGCUGAAACAACUGAUGCUUUUUUCACUGUGGCAAUUCGAUCUGGAGUGGGUCUGUGAUACAUUACAAUGCUGGGAUCGAAUCAAACUUUUCUGGAGCGCAUCCAAGCACAACAAGAGGCUAUGGGAACCCUACUGCAUGGCGCUCCUCUACUGCUGUUCAACUGUGCUUACCUCAUCAACUGUAAUGCUCAUCUACAUACAAUGCAAGAGAAAUGAGUCUCAUCUCAUCUCUUGCACUCAUGACUGAUGUGGGACAACAUGCUACAUGCCAAGAGAGGUGGUCUCAAACUCUCCACUGUUCUAGAGAUGGAAGUGAAUAUCCAACAGGAUCCUGGACAGAGAACGUGGCAGACAUGGACUCACCUUUACCGGUUUUCUGUUUAUUCCCUGCUAUGCGGUUCCUUCCUUCCAUAAGACACCAUCAGAAUAAAUGUUACAGACCGUACUAAGGAUAAAUGGACAAACAGGAUAGAUACUAUACCCGCUUCAAUGGAAUGUCUGAUAUUGCUGACCUCAGAGACCCUUCACACAGAUCUGAGAGGACCGUGAUGGUGCAAAAUGCCAAGAAAUGGCCACUACUAUGAAAAACAAAAACAAGAUCUUAUGGAAGAUCAGCUACUUGGACAUCCUACUUGUCGAUCCACUGACUGGGCAUAAGAACCCACAUGGCAUUCCACUUGCAGGUGCCGUAUGCUAGAAUGUACCACAGCAAAGUUCCCUUAAGCCCUAUCAUCUGUAUUCUGAAUAUCUAGCAUAAAGCCCUGUAGACUAGACUGGCCUCAAAGGUCUACCUAUCUCUAAU